rnacentral:rRNA from 1 species
UACGAAGGGGGCUAGCGUUGCUCGGAAUUACUGGGCGUAAAGGGCGCGUAGGCGGGUACUUAAGUCAGAGGUCAAAUCCCCGGGCUCAACCUGGGAACUGCGUUUGUGACUGUAUGACUAGAGUACGGUAGAGAGGGGUGGAAUUCCUGGUGUAGCAGUGAAAUGCGUAGAUAUCAGGAGGAACAUCGAUGGCGAAGGCAGCCCCUUGGACCUGUACUGACGCUCAUGCACGAAAGCGUGGGGAGCAAACAGG